AUACGUAGGGUGCGAGCGUUAAUCGGAAUUACAGGGCGUAAAACGUGCGCAGGUGGUUUUGUAAGUCAGAUGUGAAAUCCCCGGGCUUAACCUGGGAACUGCGUUUGAAACUGCAAGGCUAGAGUGUGGCAGAGGGGGUGGAAUUCCGCGUGUAGCAGUGAAAUGCGUAGAGAUGUGGAGGAACACCGAUGGCGAAGGCAGCCCCCUGGGUCAACACUGACGCUCAGGCACGAAAGCAUGGGGAGCAAACAGGAUUAGAAACCCGAGUAGUCC
rnacentral:rRNA from 1 species